GGGUUGUGAGGUUAAGCGACUAAGCGUACACGGUGGAUGCCCUGGCAGUCAGAGGCGAUGAAGGACGUGCUAAUCUGCGAAAAGCGCCGGCGAGGUGAUAUGAACCCUUGACCCGGCGAUGUCCGAAUGGGGAAACCCAGUGCAAUCCGUUGCACUAUCGUUAACUGAAUACAUAGGUUAACGAGGCGAACCGGGGGAACUGAAACAUCUAAGUACCCCGAGGAAAAGAAAUCAACCGAGAUUCCCCCAGUAGCGGCGAGCGAACGGGGAGCAGCCCGGAGUCUGAAUCAGUUUGUGUGUUAGUGGAACGGUCUGGAAAGUCCGACGGUACAGGGUGAUAGUCCCGUACACGAAAGCACACUUGCUGUGAACUCGAAGAGUAGGGCGGGACACGUGGUAUCCUGUCUGAAUAUGGGGGGACCAUCCUCCAAGGCUAAAUACUCCUGACUGACCGAUAGUGAACCAGUACCGUGAGGGAAAGGCGAAAAGAACCCCGGCGAGGGGAGUGAAAAAGAACCUGAAACCGUGUACGUACAAGCAGUGGGAGCCUCUUUAUGGGGUGACUGCGUACCUUUUGUAUAAUGGGUCAGCGACUUAUAUUCUGUAGCAAGGUUAACCGUAUAGGGGAGCCGAAGGGAAACCGAGUCUUAACUGGGCGUUAAGUUGCAGGGUAUAGACCCGAAACCCGGUGAUCUAGCCAUGGGCAGGUUGAAGGUUGGGUAACACUAACUGGAGGACCGAACCGACUAAUGUUGAAAAAUUAGCGGAUGACCUGUGGCUGGGGGUGAAAGGCCAAUCAAACCGGGAGAUAGCUGGUUCUCCCCGAAAGCUAUUUAGGUAGCGCCUCGUGAACUCAUCUUCGGGGGUAGAGCACUGUUUCGGCUAGGGGGCCAUCCCGGCUUACCAACCCGAUGCAAACUACGAAUACCGAAGAAUGUUAUCACGGGAGACACACGGCGGGUGCUAACGUCCGUCGUGAAGAGGGAAACAACCCAGACCGCCAGCUAAGGUCCCAAAGUCAUGGUUAAGUGGGAAACGAUGUGGGAAGGCACAGACAGCCAGGAUGUUGGCUUAGAAGCAGCCAUCAUUUAAAGAAAGCGUAAUAGCUCACUGGUCGAGUCGGCCUGCGCGGAAGAUGUAACGGGGCUAAACCAUGCACCGAAGCUGCGGCAGCGACACUAUGUGUUGUUGGGUAGGGGAGCGUUCUGUAAGCCGUUGAAGGUGUGCUGUGAGGCAUGCUGGAGGUAUCAGAAGUGCGAAUGCUGACAUAAGUAACGAUAAAGCGGGUGAAAAGCCCGCUCGCCGGAAGACCAAGGGUUCCUGUCCAACGUUAAUCGGGGCAGGGUGAGUCGACCCCUAAGGCGAGGCCGAAAGGCGUAGUCGAUGGGAAACAGGUUAAUAUUCCUGUACUUGGUGUUACUGCGAAGGGGGGACGGAGAAGGCUAUGUCAGCCGGGCGACGGUUGUCCCGGUUUAAGCAUGUAGGCGGAGGUUCCAGGUAAAUCCGGUACCUUAUUAACGCUGAGGUGUGAUGACGAGGCACUACGGUGCUGAAGUGAUAAAUGCCCUGCUUCCAGGAAAAGCCUCUAAGCAUCAGGUAACACGAAAUCGUACCCCAAACCGACACAGGUGGUCAGGUAGAGAAUACCAAGGCGCUUGAGAGAACUCGGGUGAAGGAACUAGGCAAAAUGGUGCCGUAACUUCGGGAGAAGGCACGCUGAUGUGUAGGUGAAGCCCCUGCGGGCGGAGCUGAAAUCAGUCGAAGAUACCAGCUGGCUGCAACUGUUUAUUAAAAACACAGCACUGUGCAAACACGAAAGUGGACGUAUACGGUGUGACGCCUGCCCGGUGCCGGAAGGUUAAUUGAUGGGGUUAGUGGUAACACGAAGCUCUUGAUCGAAGCCCCGGUAAACGGCGGCCGUAACUAUAACGGUCCUAAGGUAGCGAAAUUCCUUGUCGGGUAAGUUCCGACCUGCACGAAUGGCGUAAUGAUGGCCAGGCUGUCUCCACCCGAGACUCAGUGAAAUUGAACUCGCUGUGAAGAUGCAGUGUACCCGCGGCAAGACGGAAAGACCCCGUGAACCUUUACUAUAGCUUGACACUGAACACUGGUCCUUGAUGUGUAGGAUAGGUGGGAGGCUUUGAAGCGUGGACGCCAGUCUGCGUGGAGCCGUCCUUGAAAUACCACCCUUUAAUGGCUGGUGUUCUAACGUAGACCCGUAAUCCGGGUUGCGGACAGUGUCUGGUGGGUAGUUUGACUGGGGCGGUCUCCUCCCAAAGAGUAACGGAGGAGCACGAAGGUUGGCUAAUCCUGGUCGGACAUCAGGAGGUUAGUGCAAUGGCAUAAGCCAGCUUGACUGCGAGCGUGACGGCGCGAGCAGGUGCGAAAGCAGGUCAUAGUGAUCCGGUGGUUCUGAAUGGAAGGGCCAUCGCUCAACGGAUAAAAGGUACUCCGGGGAUAACAGGCUGAUACCGCCCAAGAGUUCAUAUCGACGGCGGUGUUUGGCACCUCGAUGUCGGCUCAUCACAUCCUGGGGCUGAAGUAGGUCCCAAGGGUAUGGCUGUUCGCCAUUUAAAGUGGUACGCGAGCUGGGUUUAGAACGUCGUGAGACAGUUCGGUCCCUAUCUGCCGUGGGCGCUGGAGAAUUGAGGGGGGCUGCUCCUAGUACGAGAGGACCGGAGUGGACGCAUCACUGGUGUUCGGGUUGUCAUGCCAAUGGCACUGCCCGGUAGCUAAAUGCGGAAGAGAUAAGUGCUGAAAGCAUCUAAGCACGAAACUUGCCCCGAGAUGAGUUCUCCCUGAGACUUUAAGUCUCCUGAAGGAACGUUGAAGACGACGACGUUGAUAGGUCGGGUGUGUAAGCGCAGCGAUGCGUUGAGCUAACCGAUACUAAUGAACCGUGAGGCUUAACCUUACAACGCCGAAGGUGUUU
rnacentral:rRNA from 2 species